UACGGGGGGGGCAAGCGUUGUUCGGAAUUACUGGGCGUAAAGGGCUCGUAGGUGGCCAACUAAGUCAGACGUGAAGUCCCUCGGCUUAACCGGGGAACUGCGUCUGAUACUGGAUGGCUUGAGUUUGGGAGAGGGACGCGGAAUUCCAGGUGUAGCGGUGAAAUGCGCAGAUAUCAGGAAGAACACCCGUGGCGAAGGCGGCUCUCUGGGACGGUACUGACGCUGAGACGCGAAAGCGUGGGGAGCGAACAGG
rnacentral:rRNA from 1 species